rnacentral:tRNA from 2 species
UGAAAAACUAGUUAAAAAAUAACAUAAGAUUGUCAUUCUUAAAUUACUCCCCCGUGUUUUUUAA